AUCCUGGCUUAGGAUGAACGCUAGCGACAGGCUUAACACAUGCAAGUCGAGGGGCAGCAUAGAAGUAGCAAUACUUGGUGGCGACCGGCGCACGGGUGAGUAACGCGUAUGCAACCGUACCUAUCAGAAGGGGAAGUAACCCGGCGAAAGUCGGACUAAUACCGCAUAAAACAGGGGCACCGCAUGGUGAUAUUUGUUAAAGAAAUUCGCUGAUAGAUGGGCAUGCGUUCCAUUAGGUAGUUGGUGAGGUAACGGCUCACCAAGCCGACGAUGGAUAGGGGAACUGAGAGGUUGGUCCCCCACACUGGUACUGAGACACGGACCAGACUCCUACGGGAGGCAGCAGUGAGGAAUAUUGGUCAAUGGGCGGGAGCCUGAACCAGCCAAGUCGCGUGAAGGAAGAAGGAUCUAUGGUUCGUAAACUUCUUUGCAGGGGAAUAAAGUGCAGGACGUGUCCUGUUUUGUAUGUACCCUGAGAAUAAGGAUCGGCUAACUCCGUGCCAGCCGCCGC
rnacentral:rRNA from 1 species